rnacentral:rRNA from 1 species
UCUUUUAGACAUUGGGUAGGGGAGCGUUCUGUAAGCCGUUGAAGGUGAAUCGUAAGGUUUGCUGGAGGUAUCAGAAGUGCGAAUGCUGACAUGAGUAACGACAAAGGGGGUGAAAAACCUCCUCGCCGGAAGACCAAGGGUUCCUGUCCAACGUUAAUCGGGGCAGGGUGAGUCGACCCCUAAGGUGAGGCCGAAAGGCGUAAUCGAUGGGAAACGGGUUAAUAUUCCCGUACUUCUGACUAUUGCGAUGGGGGGACGGAGAAGGCUAGGUGGGCCAGGCGACGGUUGUCCUGGUUCAAGUGCGUAGGCUUGAGAGUUAGGUAAAUCCGGCUCUCUCUAAGGCUGAGACACGACGUCGAGCUACUACGGUAGUGAAGUCAUUGAUGCCAUGCUUCCAGGAAAAGCCUCUAAGCUUCAGAUAGUCAGGAAUCGUACCCCAAACCGACACAGGUGGUCGGGUAGAGAAUACCAAGGCGCUUGAGAGAACUCGGGUGAAGGAACUAGGCAAAAUGGUACCGUAACUUCGGGAGAAGGUACGCUCUUGAUGGUGAAGUCCCUCGCGGAUGGAGCUGACGAGAGUCGCAGAUACCAGGUGGCUGCAACUGUUUAUUAAAAACACAGCACUGUGCAAAAUCGCAAGAUGACGUAUACGGUGUGACGCCUGCCCGGUGCCGGAAGGUUAAUUGAUGGGGUUAGCGCAAGCGAAGCUCUUGAUCGAAGCCCCGGUAAACGGCGGCCGUAACUAUAACGGUCCUAAGGUAGCGAAAUUCCUUGUCGGGUAAGUUCCGACCUGCACGAAUGGCGUAAUGAUGGCCACGCUGUCUCCACCCGAGACUCAGUGAAAUUGAAAUCGCUGUGAAGAUGCAGUGUACCCGCGGCUAGACGGAAAGACCCCGUGAACCUUUACUACAGCUUGGCACUGAACAUUGAACCUACAUGUGUAGGAUAGGUGGGAGGCUAUGAAGACG